rnacentral:rRNA from 1 species
UACGUAGGGGGCUAGCGUUGUCCGGAAUCAUUGGGCGUAAAGCGCGUGUAGGCGGUUCGGUAAGUCCGCUGUGAAAGUCGGGGGCUCAACCCUCGAAAGCCGGUGGAUACUGUCGGGCUAGAGUACAGAAGGGGCAACUGGAAUUCUCGGUGUAGCGGUGAAAUGCGUAGAUAUCGAGAGGAACACCUGCGGCGAAGGCGGGUUGCUGGGCUGAUACUGACGCUGAGGCGCGAAAGCCAGGGGAGCGAACGGG